GAAUAUUGGUCAAUGGCCUAAGGGCUGAGCUGGCAAUUUGGGUAAACGAAACAGAAUUGUAACUUACUAAAAUAAAGUUUUAUUAAUAAUGAUAAUAUGUAUAAAAGUCUUGACCAAUUACGUGCCAGCAGUCGGUAAUACGUAGGAGACGAGCAUUAUUCAUAUUAAAUAGGUUUAAAGGGUACCCAAACGGUCAAAAUACCUGAAAUAUAGGAGUACUUGACUAGAGUUAUAUGUAAGAAGACCGUACUUGAGGUGGAGAGAUUAUAUUUUAUGAUACCAAAAGGACUGAUAACGGCGAAGGCUGUCUUUUAUGUAAUAACUGACGUUGAAGGACGAAGGCAUAGAUAACUAACAGGAUUCGUUACCCUAGUAGUCUUUGCAGACAAUGAUGAAUGCCAUUAACUAGAUACUAAUUUUAGUUAUAUAAAUGAAAAUGAAAGCAUUUCACCUCAAGAGUAAUGUGGCAACGCAGGAACUGAAAUCACUAGACCGUUUCUGACACCAGUAGUGAAGUAUGUUAUUUAAUU
rnacentral:rRNA from 1 species